rnacentral:rRNA from 1 species
CCUACGGGUGGCAGCAGUGGGGAAUAUUGGACAAUGGGGGCAACCCUGAUCCAGCCAUGCCGCGUGUGUGAAGAAGGCCCUCGGGUUGUAAAGCACUUUCAGUGAGGAAGAACGCCUGGUGGUUAAUACCCAUCAGGAAAGACAUCACUCACAGAAGAAGCACCGGCUAACUCCGUGCCAGCAGCCGCGGUAAUACGGAGGGUGCGAGCGUUAAUCGGAAUUACUGGGCGUAAAGCGCGCGUAGGUGGCUUGAUAAGCCGGUUGUGAAAGCCCCGGGCUCAACCUGGGAACGGCAUCCGGAACUGUCAAGCUAGAGUGCAGGAGAGGAAGGUAGAAUUCCAGGUGUAGCGGUGAAAUGCGUAGAGAUCGGGAGGAAUACCAGUGGCGAAGGCGGCCUUCUGGACUGAAACUGACACUGAGGUGCGAAAGCGUGGGUAGCAAACAGGAUUAGAUACCCGUGUAGUC